rnacentral:rRNA from 1 species
GAUGAACGCUGGCGGCGUGCCUAAUACAUGCCAGUCGAGCGAACAGACGAGGAGCUUGCUCCUCUGACGUUAGCGGCGGACGGGUGAGUAACACGUGGAUAACCUACCUAUAAGACUGGGAUAACUUCGGGAAACCGGAGCUAAUACCGGAUAAUAUAUUGAACCGCAUGGUUCAAUAGUGAAAGACGGUUUUGCUGUCACUUAUAGAUGGAUCCGCGCCGCAUUAGCUAGUUGGUAAGGUAACGGCUUACCAAGGCAACGAUGCGUAGCCGACCUGAGAGGGUGAUCGGCCACACUGGAACUGAGACACGGUCCAGACUCCUACGGGAGGCAGCAGUAGGGAAUCUUCCGCAAUGGGCGAAAGCCUGACGGAGCAACGCCGCGUGAGUGAUGAAGGUCUUCGGAUCGUAAAACUCUGUUAUUAGGGAAGAACAAAUGUGUAAGUAACUAUGCACGUCUGGACGGUACCUAAUCAGAAAGCCACGGCUAACUACGG